CUCCGUCCAAGUCUGUGGCACAAAAAAAAAACAACCUUUCAGGACGGACGGCACCAUUCAGACUUCAGAUCAGAGUUCAGAUUUCUAAACUGACAGCAGGAAGGUUUGCUUCACCUGCUUCACCUCAGAGUGCAGAUGAGUUAGCAUCACAAAAACCAGAAGCAUCUAACCCUUCCUGUGACACACACACACACAAAAAUAAAAAGAAAAGAAAAAUAAACGGCAACCGCA